CUGACGCUGAGGAGCGAAAGCAUGGGGAGCAAACAGGCUUAGAUACCCUGGUAGUCCAUGCCGUAAACGUUGGGAACUAGAUGUGGGGACCUUUCCACGGUCUCCGUGUCGUAGCUAACGCAUUAAGUUCCCCGCCUGGGGAGUACGGCCGCAAGGCUAAAACUCAAAGGAAUUGACGGGGGCCCGCACAAGCGGCGGAGCAUGCGGAUUAAUUCGAUGCAACGCGAAGACCCUUACCAAGGCUUGACAUAUACGAGAACGCACUGGAGACAGUGAACUCUUUGGACACUCGUAUACAGGUGGUGCAUGGUUGUCGUCAGCUCGUGUCGUGAGAUGUUGGGUUAAGUCCCGCAACGAGCGCAACCCUCGUCCUAUGUUGCCAGCACGUAAUGGUGGGAACUCAUGGGAUACUGCCGGGGUCAACUCGGAGGAAGGUGGGGAUGAGGUCAAAUCAUCAUGCCCCUUAUGUCUUGGGCUUCACGCAUGCUACAAUGGCCGGUACAAUGGGCUGCGAUACCGCAAGGUGGAGCGAAUCCCAAAAAGCCGGUCUCAGUUCGGAUUGAGGUCUGCAACUCGACCUCAUGAAGUCGGAGUCGCUAGUAAUCGUAGAUCAGCAACGCUACGGUGAAUACGUUCCCGGGCCUUGUACACACCGCCCGUCAAGUCAUGAAAGUCGGUAACUCCCGAAGCCGGUGGCCUAACCCUUGGGAGGGAGCCGUCGAAGGUGGGAUCGGUGAUUAGGACUAAGUCGUAACAAGGUAACCAAGGG
rnacentral:rRNA from 1 species